ensembl:snRNA LOC120101218 U7 small nuclear RNA
AAUUUUUCAUAGCUCUUUUAGAAUUUUUUCUAACAGGAUUUCUGAACAUUGUGGGAAAUCCCAA